AUCAACACCACCCAACACAGCACCUACUCCUACUGCUACUCCAAUCCCUGGUUCUACUUCUCACCUGGGUGUCCAUGUGGCUGUUAGAGUUGCUACCACUAUCAGUCUAUUUGUGGCUGUAAUCAUAGUAGCAGUCAUCUACAGGAAGAGAUUAUGUGAACCUCAGGGCAAACCAAACACCUCUGUGAGUAACACACACACACACA